rnacentral:rRNA from 1 species
GACGAACGCUGGCGGCGUGCUUAACACAUGCAAGUCGAACGGAAAGGCCCUGCUUUUGUGGGGUGCUCGAGUGGCGAACGGGUGAGUAACACGAGAGUAACCUGCCCUUGACUUUGGGAUAACUUCAGGAAACUGGGGCUAAUACCGUACAGGAUCUCCUGCUGCAUGGUGGGGGUUGGAAAGUUUCGGCGGUUGGGGAUGGACUCGCGGCUUAUCAGCUUGUUGGUUGGGUAGUGGCUUACCAAGGCUUUGACGGGUAGCCGGCCUGAGAGGGUGACCGGCCACAAUGGGACUGAGAUACGGCGCAGAGUCCUACGGGAGGCAGCAGUGGGGAAUAUUGCACAGUGGGCGCGAGCCGGAUGCAGCGGCGCCGCGUGCGUGAUGACGGCCUUCGGGUUGUGAACCGCUUUCGCCUAUGACGAAGCGUGAGUGACGGUACUGGGUAAAGAAGCACCGGCUAACUACGUG